ACCUGGGUUGGUGGAAGAAUGGCCUAAACCAUUGGUUUUCAACCAAUACGACCCGGGUUUGAUUCCCGUAUUGGGCA